AGCUCCAAUAGCGUAUAUUAAUGUUGUUGCGGUUAAAAAGCUCGUAGUUGGAUUUUGGGUUCAGCUCCGGCGGGCCGGUGCAAACCGCGAACUGCUAGAAUGGACCUUCUGUCUGGAGGCCGCGCGCCUUCUCUUCGUUGAGAGGCGCGGGGCGUCUAGGACUUUUACUUUGAACAAAUUGGAGUGUUUAAAGCAGGCGAUAGCCUUGAACACAUUAGCAUGGAAUAACCGAAUAGGACUUUGGUUCUAUUUUGUUGGUUUUAAGGACCGAAGUAAUGAUUAAUAGGGACAGUUGGGGGCAUUCGUAUUUAAUUGUCAGAGGUGAAAUUCUUAGAUUUAUGAAAGACGAACUUCUGCGAAAGCAUUUGCCAAGGAUGUUUUCAUUAAUCAAGAACGAAAG
rnacentral:rRNA from 1 species